UACGGAGGGUGCAAGCGUUGCUCGGAAUUAUUGGGCGUAAAGGGUAGGUAGGUGGUCUCGUUUGUCAGGGGUGAAAGCCUUGGGCUUGACUCAAGAAGUGCCCCUGAAACGGCGAGACUCGAGUACUGGAGAGGGUCGUGGAAUUCCCGGUGUAGCGGUGAAAUGCGUAGAGAUCGGGAGGAACACCAGAGGCGAAGGCGGCGACCUGGACAGUGACUGACACUCAACUACGAAAGCGUGGGGAGCAAACAGG
rnacentral:rRNA from 1 species